GUGCACAAGGCAGGCCACGGACCUGCACCAUUACUAGUCAGAAAGUUCCACUGAAUUAUAUUAUUAACAAUAUUACGAUUGGAACUUAUUAUUCAUGAGUUUCUUUGUACAGGAUUCUAAUGGCUCAAUUGUCUGAUUCCCCCACAUCAGAUAGCCUAAGCCAUUUAUAGCAGUUAUAUGUCUAGCAUUUCAAACAGUAUAUAAUAAAGAGACAUAAGAAAGGAAAUAGGUUGCACAAGUAGCAGCAGAGAUGAUUGUCAAGGAAGCCACUGCUAUCCCUGGCCCUCAUUAUCCCAUUAUUUCUAAGAAGCUUCCCUAUCCUCAACAGUCAGCACCAGUACCCCAACCCAAACGCCAUGCCCCCCCUCUGUUUCUUUUUCUAUAGCUUUAGGUCCUAGCUCUGCCACCAUCAUAAGGUUAACUAUCAGCACUAAACCUGCAUUGUUAUGAACAAAAGUUUUUAUAAUGAUAACUUUUCGAGUCAAUCCUUAAUAUUGUCAUAGAUGGACCCAAAUGGCAUAGUAGGACUAAAUAAAAAAAUAAAAAAUAAAAACCAAUAGCAACAACAUAUGCUUCACAUAAUGUUAUCCUAUCGGCAGGUGGUCAGCCAUAGCCAGGAAUCUCCCCAAGCGAACCGACAACGAGAUCAAGAAUUAUUGGAACACACAUCUGAAGAAGCGACAAGCCGAGAAGGGUACUGCUCUUGUGAGUCGCAAGCCAUUUGGUCCCUCUUCCGCUCCCUCCGACGCCAUCCACGAGUCUUCUGAAUGCGAACCUGCUCAGCCGCAACCUACAUCUUUAAGGCCUGCUUCGGCUUCAGCCCAGCUGCUCAACAAAAUAGCGGCUAAGCUUGCGCCAUCAACAUGUCUCGAGACAUUAAAAACAAGCCAAAGUCUUCAGACCCUUUCAACAGAAGCUGAUAAAGAGGUUGUGGACGUGCAUAUAAUUAGCAACACGUGUCAGUCGGAGCCUCCACCUUCCCUGGCUGUGAGGUCCCCGGAUAUGCCCAGGCCUGUUUCCACUUCUGCUAGAAUCCUAAAUAAAAUGGCCGGUAGACUUACCACCCAUUUACACUGCCUCGACACGUUAAAAUCUAUCCUGUCAGGUUCUUCAGAUAAUCAUAACUUUAUGCAUCGUUCUCCAUCUGCUUCAAGCCUUUCAGAGACUGCCUCUGAUAUGUCAAGAUCCAUUUCCACUUCCAAUGGAGGGAUAAACGAUCAAAUGCCUACCCAUAAUCAUCUUUCACCAUUAAUCGACUCUUUUGAUCUUGACCUGCUUAAAGAUUGGAAUGGGGUAAGUGACUGCGGCGUUUCGAGUAGUAGCCUGGGUGACACCUACAACGGCUGGGAAUCUCCAGUGUCUCCUCUC
rnacentral:misc_RNA from 1 species